rnacentral:rRNA from 1 species
CAGUCGCCACGGUAAUCCGUAGGGUGCGAGCGUUAAUCGGAAUUACUGGGCGUAAAGCGGGCGCAGACGGUUACUUAAGCAGGAUGUGAAAUCCCCGGGCUCAACCUGGGAACUGCGUUCUGAACUGGGUGACUAGAGUGUGUCAGAGGGAGGUAGAAUUCCACGUGUAGCAGUGAAAUGCGUAGAUAUCGGAAGGAACACCAGUGGCGAAGGCGGCUACCUGGACUGAGACUGACGCUCAUGCACGAAAGCGUGGGGAGCAAACAGGAUUAGAUACCCGUGUAGUCCCUGUCUCUUAUAC